AGUGAACGCUGGCGGUAGGCCUAACACAUGCAAGUCGAACGGCAGCACAGGAGAGCUUGCUCUCUGGGUGGCGAGUGGCGGACGGGUGAGGAAUACAUCGGAAUCUACUUUUUCGUGAGGGAUAACGUAGGGAAACUUACGCUAAUACCGCAUACGACCUACGGGUGAAAGCAGGGGACCUUCGGGCCUUGCGCGAUUGAAUGAGCCGAUGUCGGAUUAGCUAGUUGGCGGGGUAAAGGCCCACCAAGGCGACGAUCCGUAGCUGGUCUGAGAGGAUGAUCAGCCACACGGGAACUGAGACACGGUCCAGACUCCUACGGGAGGCAGCAGUGGGGAAUAUUGGACAAUGGGCGCAAGCCUGAUCCAGCCAUACCGCGUGGGUGAAGAAGGCCUUCGGGUUGUAAAGCCCUUUUGUUGGGAAAGAAAUCCAGCUGGCUAAUACCCGGUUGGGAUGACGGUACCCAAGGAAUAAGCACCGGCUAACUUCGUGCCAGCCGCCGCGGUAA
rnacentral:rRNA from 1 species